rnacentral:rRNA from 1 species
GACGAACGCUGGCGGCGUGCUUAACACAUGCAAGUCGAACGGCAAGGCCCUGCUUUUGUGGGGUGCUCGAGUGGCGAACGGGUGAGUAACACGUGAGUAACCUGCCCUUGACUUUGGGAUAACUUCAGGAAACUGGGGCUAAUACCGGAUAGGAGCCGCUGCUGCAUGGUGGGGGUGGGAAAGUUUCGGCUGUUGGGGAUGGACUCGCGGCUUAUCAGCUUGUUGGUGGGGUAGUGGCUUACCAAGGCUUUGACGGGUCGCCGGCCUGAGAGGGUGACCGGGCACAUGGGGACUGAGGUACGGACCAGACUCCUACGGGAGGCAGAAGUGGGGAAUAUUGCACAAUGGGCGGGAGCCGGAUGCAGAAGCGCCGCGUGCGGGAUGACGGCCUUCGGGUUGUAAACCGCUUUCGCCUGUGACGCAGCGUGAGUGACGGUAAUGGGUAAAGAAGCACCGGCUAACUACGUG